UGGGGAAUAUUGCACAAUGGGCGCAAGCCUGAUGCAGCCAUGCCGCGUGUAUGAAGAAGGCCUUCGGGUUGUAAAGUACUUUCAGCGGGGAGGAAGGCGAUGUGGUUAAUAACCGCGUCGAUUGACGUUACCCGCAGAAGAAGCACCGGCUAACUCCGUGCC
rnacentral:rRNA from 1 species